GAGAGAGAGAGAGAGAGAGAGAGAGAGACGAGGGACAGACAGCCAUGUUCAGUCUGCACAGACAGUCAGGCAACACUAGUCAACUGAACCCUGGCCUUUAGUAACCGGUGUAGGUCUGCGCCAAUGGCCUGAGGAGAGAGAGAGAGAGAGAGAGAGAGAGAGAGAGAGAGAGAGAGAGAGAGAGAGAGAGAGAGAGAGAGAGAGAGAGAGAGAGAGAGAGAGAGAGAGAGAGAGAGAGAUAAGAUACAUUAAGAAAAAAAGGACAUUACAUAAUGUGUAAUACUGUAUUUAUAUAACAUAUUUGACAGAAAAUCUUGAAAUAUAGUGUAUUAUGUAUAACACAGAGGUGCGCAUCUUUCCAGGCCAGUAGCUCCAGUGAAUCUAUUCUAUGUAAUGUUCACAAUUACAUAUACAUGAAGUAAAUGGUGUAAGUUUUUGAGUUGUCACAUGGGUUGUCCCUGCGUUUGAAUGAGAAUGUGUCUGCAAAAUAAUGAGGCCUAAUUCUGUCAAAUGCUUAUUGUUUCAAAAUUAGAAAUCACUUCUAGUCAUUGUUAAAAAAAAUAAAUAAAUAAAAAAAAAAAAAAAAAAUAACAACAGUGUAUGGACAGCUGUAUUUGGGCAUUCAUUCCUAAAUUCUUCAGGUCACUAUGUUCAAUAGAUUUUUGUGAAAUUCUAGGAGGUACUACAAAGUACAGAAGAGUGGCACUUGUCAACAAUCAUAAGAAUAUAGUAGAAAUCCUUGAAUGAAACACUAUGAUGUUGAAAGAAAUGUUCCAUACACUGCCAUUACAUAUAAAAUGUCACAACCAAAGAUAAAUAGCAAUGAAGAAAAUACCUAAUUACAAAGAUAAACUACUACAUAAGCACUUUUUAUGCAGCUAUUAUUAUUAUUACAAGAAAUUUUGCAGUAAUAUAUGAAGUCAAUAUACAGAGUGAAAUUGAAAUGUGUGCAUUUUUAUCAAGUUGUUAAUGGACAGGAGUUUUAACUUGAGUAUCUUUAAUUGUAGGAAUGAAGAGGGUGUUUCAAAAAUAUUUAUUCUGCAAGAUAAAAAUCUACAGCCUGUGAUGUAAAAUGUAUGUUUGGAAUAAUA